CUGACACAGGGAGGUAGUGACAAUAAAUAACAAUGCCGGGCUUUUUAAAGUUUGGCAAUUGGAAUGAGAACAAUUUAAAUCCCUUAUCGAGGAUCAAUUGGAGGGCAAGUCUGGUGCCAGCAGCCGCGGUAAUUCCAGCUCCAAUAGCGUAUACUAAAGUUGUUGCAGUUAAAAAGCUCGUAGUUGGAUUUCUGGUCGUGAGAUUCGGUCUGCUUCGUAAGGAGUAUGUACUAGAAUUUCAUGUCCAUCCUCGGAGUAUUGUUAUAUGGGAUUAAUUUUCGUGUAAUGAUCUCCGUCAUUUACUGUGAGUAAACUAGAGUGUUCAAAGCAGGCUUAGGCCGUUGAAUACAUUAGCAUGGAAUAAUAAGAUAAGACCUUGGUCUAUUUUGUUGGUUUAUUUUCCAAGGUAAUGAUUAAUAGGGAUAGUUGGGGGUAUUCGUAUUCAAUUGUCAGAGGUGAAAUUCUUGGAUUUAUGGAAGACGAACUACUGCGAAAGCAUUUACCAAGGAUGUUUUCAUU
rnacentral:rRNA from 1 species